UACGGGGGGAGCAAGCGUUGUUCGGAUUUACUGGGCGUAAAGGGCGCGUAGGCGGCGUGACAAGUCACUUGUGAAAUCUCCGGGCUUAACUCGGAACGGUCAAGUGAUACUGUCGUGCUAGAGUACAGAAGGGGCAACUGGAAUUCUCGGUGUAGCGGUGAAAUGCGUAGAUAUCGAGAGGAACACCUGCGGCGAAGGCGGGUUGCUGGGCAGUUGCUGACACUGAGGCGCGACAGCGUGGGGAGCAAACAGG
rnacentral:rRNA from 1 species